rnacentral:tRNA from 1 species
GGUUCCGUGGUCUAGUUGGUUAUGGCGGCGCCUUAACACGGCGCAGGUCCCCGGUUCGAUCCCGGGCGGAAUCA